rnacentral:rRNA from 1 species
CAGAGGAACCUGUUCUAUAUCGAUAAUCCACGAUGGACCUUACUUAAGUUUGUAAACAGUUUAUAUACCGUCGUUAUUAGAAUAUUUUAUAAGAAUGAUAAUUUUCGAGUUUUUAAAAAAGAAAAUAUAUCAGAUCAAGGUGUAGCUUAUAUUUAAGUAGAAAUGGGUUACAAUAAAAUUAUUUAAAUGAAUAUAAAUAUGAAAAAUUUAUUGAAGGUGGAUUUGAUAGUAAAAUUAUAAAGAUUAAUAAUUUGAUUUUAGCUCUAAAAUAUGCACACAUCGCCCGUCACUCUUAUUAUUAAGGUAAGAUAAGUCGUAACAUAGUAGAUGUACUGGAAAGUGUAUCUAGAAUGCAAUUUAAAGCUUAUUUAGUAAAGUAUUUCAUUUACAUUGAAAAGAUUUUUGUGCAAAUCAAUAUAAAUUGAUUAAAUUUUAUUUAUUAAUUUUUUUUAUUUAAUAAAUUUAUUAAAAAUAAUUAUAAGUUAAUUUGUUUUAGUAUAUUUUAUAGAAAAAAUAUUUAUAAUAAUAGUUAAAUAGUAUUGUAAAAGAAAAUUGAAAUAUUUUGAAAAAUA